rnacentral:rRNA from 1 species
AGUGAACGCUGGCGGCAGGCCUAAUACAUGCAAGUCGAACGGCAGCACAGCAGAGCUUGCUCUGUGGGUGGCGAGUGGCGGACGGGUGAGGAAUACAUGGGAAUCUGCCCAGUCGUGGGGGAUAACGUAUGGAAACGUACGCUAAUACCGCAUGCGCCCUAAGGGGGAAAGCCGGGGACCGCAAGGCCUGGCGCGAUUGGAUGAGCCCAUGUUCGAUUAGCUAGUUGGCGGGGUAAAGGCCCACCAAGGCGACGAUCGAUAGCUGGUCUGAGAGGAUGAUCAGCCACACUGGAACUGAGACACGGUCCAGACUCCUACGGGAGGCAGCAGUAGGGAAUAUUGGACAAUGGGGGCAACCCUGAUCCAGCCAUGCCGCGUGAGUGAAGAAGGCCUCGGGUUGUAAAGCUCUUUUGUCCGGAAAGAAAGCAAUCGGUUAAUACCCGGUUGUCCUGACGGUACCGGAAGAAUAAGCACCGGCUAACUUCGUGCC